UUGGAGGGCAAGUCUGGUGCCAGCAGCCGCGGUAAUUCCAGCUCCAAUAGCGUAUAUUAAAGUUGUUGCAGUUAAAAAGCUCGUAGUUGAAUUUCGGGAUCGACGGGUCGGUCGCGCCUCUGGUGUGUACUGGCCUCACUGAUUCCUCCCUCUUGUAGAACCGUGAUGCCAUUAACUUGGUGUUGCGGGGAAACAGGACUGUUACUUUGAAAAAAUUAGAGUGUUUAAAGCAGGCUCACGCUUGAAUACAUUAGCAUGGAAUAACGGAAUAGGACGUUUGAUUCUAUUUUGUUGGUUUCUAGGAUCGACGUAAUGAUUAAUAGGGAUAGUUGGGGGCAUUAGUAUUCAAUUGUCAGAGGUGAAAUUCUUGGAUUUAUUGAAGACUAACUACUGCGAAAGCAUUUGCCAAGGAUGUUUUCAUUAAUCAAGAACGAAAGUUAGGGGAUCGAAGACGAUCAGAUACCGUCGUAGUCUUAACCAUAAACUAUGCCGACUAGGGAUCGGAUGAUGUUAAUUUUUUAAUGACUCAUUCGGCGCCUUACGGGAAAC
rnacentral:rRNA from 1 species